rnacentral:rRNA from 1 species
GACGAACGCUGGCGGCGUGCUUAACACAUGCAAGUCGAACGGAAAGGCCCUGCUUUUGUGGGGUGCUCGAGUGGCGAACGGGUGAGUAACACGUGAGUAACCUGCCCUUGACUUUGGGAUAACUUCAGGAAACUGGGGCUAAUACCGGAUAGGAGCUCCUGCUGCAUGGUGGGGGUUGGAAAGUUUCGGCGGUUGGGGAUGGACUCGCGGCUUAUCAGCUUGUUGGUGGGGUAGUGGCUUACCAAGGCUUUGACGGGUAGCCGGCCUGAGAGGGUGACCGGCCACAUUGGGACUGAGAUACGGCCCAGACGCCUACGGGAGGCAGCAGUGGGGAAUAUUGCACAAUGGGCGGAAGCCUGAUGCAGCAACGCCGCGUGCGGGAUGACGGCCUUCGGGUUGUAAACCGCUUUCGCCUGUGACGAAGCGUGAGUGACGGUAAUGGGUAAAGAAGCACCGGAUAACUACGU